rnacentral:rRNA from 1 species
CACUUAAAAUGGGAGUGAGGAGGGUCAUUA